AUUGAACGCUGGCGGCAGGCCUAACACAUGCAAGUCGAACGAGUGACGGACGGGUGAGUAAUGUCUGGGAAACUGCCUGAUGGAGGGGGAUAACUACUGGAAACGGUAGCUAAUACCGCAUACCAUUAGAGGUGCACAGUUGGAAUUAGCUUGUUGGGGGGGUAACGGCUCACCAUGGCGACGAUCCCUAGCUGGCCUGAGAGGAUGACCAGCACCACUGGAAGAGAGACACGGGCCAGACUUCGACGGGAGGCAGCAGUUGGGAACAUUGCACAAUGGGCGCAAGCCAUAUGGAUCCAUGCCGCGUGUCUGAAGACGGCCUUGGGGUUGUAAAGUACUUUCAGCGGGGAGGCGUUACCCGCAAAAGAAGCCCCGGCUAACUCCGUGCAAGCAGCCGCGGUAAGAC
rnacentral:rRNA from 1 species